AACGAACGCUGGCGGCAUGCCUAACACAUGCAAGUCGAACGAGACCUUCGGGUCUAGUGGCGCACGGGUGCGUAACGCGUGGGAACCUGCCCUUAGGUUCGGAAUAACUCCCCGAAAGGGGUGCUAAUACCGGAUAAUGUCUUCGGACCAAAGAUUUAUCGCCUUUGGAUGGGCCCGCGUUGGAUUAGCUAGUUGGUAGGGUAAAAGCCUACCAAGGCGACGAUCCAUAGCUGGUCUGAGAGGAUGAUCAGCCACACUGGGACUGAGACACGGCCCAGACUCCGCGGGGAGGCAGCAUGGGGAAUUAUUGAAGAAGGGCAAAAGCCCUAAACAACAAUUCCGGCGGGAGUAAUAAAGGCUUGAGGUUUAAAAAUUUUUUUUCCCCGGGAUGAAAAUAACGGCACGGGGGAAAAAAGCUCGGCCAACCCCCGAG
rnacentral:rRNA from 1 species